GUACGUUAUCCAUCAUACAUUAAAGUCGAAUGAAAAAUUUGCGCUAUAAAAUACUUAAAAUAUAUAUCGCAGAUCGAAUAAUCAUCUAUAAUUCUUACAGAAUUCGAUCAAUUACAUCGAGAAAAGAAAAGGAUCAUCAGGGAAAUACAAUUCGUGGACUUAUAUAUAUGUGCUAGUGUUCGGAUGUGAUCUUCUUCGUAUCUUCGAUCUUCGAUUAUUUCGACGUGGUUUUUUCGUAAAAACGACGAUAAAGUAUAUAUAAUUCUUCGACAAUCAAUAAUCGAACCAUAACAGAAUUAUAACCAGAGGCAUUGCGACUUCCCAUGUUCGACAAGCUGAGGCUUUCUACCUUAUUGACAAGAGAUUCUCGAGAUACGCGAUACUGAAGUGCUUGGACUUAACUGGAGCAAUCAAUCCGUUGAGAAAUUACGAGCUGUCGUAACAUUGAGUUUCUUGACCUUCCUAUCAGGAAUCGAAAGUGGAUUGAUGCAAGGUCGACCCGCAUAUCGGUACGGUACCUUGAGAGAGAGAGAGACAGAAAUUACUCAAGGCCUUCUGCAAGAACAUUGAACCUUCUACGACCACGCAUCAGGAUAUCGAUUCGUUUCAAGAUUCCAGAGAGCAGUCGCAAAUAAGUUCAUCGGCAUGAUCGAUAAUGAGCUACGCAAAUGAGUUAUGUCACGGAAUUUCGAGAUGAAUUUCAAGGUGUCCUUAUCAUGGAGGAACGGUUCACGGUUCGAAAUUAAGAUGAUACCUUAGUAGUCGAGUCUUCUGAUUGUCACAACAUGUCACAACU